rnacentral:rRNA from 1 species
CAGCAGCCGCGGUAAUACGAGGGGUGCAAGCGUUAUUCGGAUUGAUUGUGUGUAAAGGGUGUGCAGACGGCUUAUUAAGUCACUUGUUAAAUUCUUCGGCCUAACUGAAGGUCUGCAAGUGAUACUGAUGAGCUAGAGGGUGGAAGAGAGAAGUGGAAUUCUCGGAGUAGCGGUAAAAUGCGUAGAUCUCGAGAGGAACACCAAUGGCGAAGGCAGCCAUCUGGCCUAAUACUGACGCUGAGGUACGAAAGCAUGGGGAGCAAACAGGAUUAGAUACCCGCGUAGUCCCUGUCUCUUAUAC